AUAGCCAUGCAUGUCUAAGUACACACGAAUUAAAAGUGAAACCGCAAAAGGCUCAUUAUAUCAGUUAUGGUUCCAUAGAUCGUUAACAGUUACUUGGAUAACUGUGGUAAUUCUAGAGCUAAUACAUGCAAUAUAAACACGGACCGUUUGGAACGUGUGCUUUUAUUAGGCUAAAACCAAGCGAUCUUUCGAUCGUUAUACUGGUUGAACUCUAGAUAACUUGCAGAUCGUAUGGUCCCGUACCGACGACAGAUCUUUCAAAUGUCUGCCCUAUCAACUUUUGAUGGUAGUAUCUAGGACUACCAUGGUUGCAACGGGUAACGGGGAAUCAGGGUUCGAUUCCGGAGAGGGAGCCUGAGAAACGGCUACCACAUCUAAGGAAGGCAGCAGGCGCGUAAAUUACCCACUCCCAGUUCGGGGAGGUAGUGACGAAAAAUAACAAUACAGGACUCAUAUCCGAGGCCCUGUAAUUGGAAUGAGUACACUUUAAAUCCUUUAACAAGGACCUAUUGGAGGGCAAGUCUGGUGCCAGCAGCCGCGGUAAUUCCAGCUCCAAUAGCGUAUAUUAAAGUUGUUGCGGUUAAAACGUUCGUAGUUGAAUUUGUGCUUCAUACGGGUAGUACAACUACAAUUGUGGUAUGUACAUUACCUUAUGUAUGUAAGCGUAUUACCGGUGGAGUUCUUAUAUAUAAUUAAUACAAUGUAUUUUUUAUAUAUUCCUCCUAUUUAAACCUGCUUCAGUGCUCUUCAUCGAGUGUUGUUGUGGGCCGGUACAAUUACUUUGAACAAAUUAGAGUGCUUAAAGCAGGCUCCAAAUGCCUGAAUAUUUUGUGCAUGGAAUAAUGAAAUAAGACCUCUGUUCUACUUUCAUUGGUUUUUAGAUCAAGAGGUAAUGAUUAAUAGAAGCAGUUUGGGGGGCAUUAGUAUUACGACGCGAGAGGUGAAAUUCUUGGACCGUCGUAAGACUAACUUAAGCGAAAGCAUUUUGCCAAAGAUGUUUUUCAUUAAUCAAGAACGAAGUUAGAGGU
rnacentral:rRNA from 1 species